CAGUCUCAGGAGGAGGAAGCGGUCAAAUAAGGAAAUGGACCUUGGAGGCUAGUUUUAGGAAUGUAAACUAAUGGUUUUGAGCAGGACACAGAGAAUGAGGGAGAAGGGCAAGGCCUGCCCCAGCCACGUUUGCCAUGUUCGGGCUGCCUGGAGUCCCUUCAGGUAUGGGAGCACAAAAGAUAGAUGGCUGCAUGUAAGUCUGGAAUCUUUCUGCUGUUGACUUUGAAGGGACCAAUGCUAGAAACCCUUUUGCUUCAAGAAAACAAAUCCUGCCCACAAUUCCUAAGGGGAUGGAAAGUAAACCUUCCCCAGGGUCCAGCUCACUGAAGCUAUGCAUGGGCAGGUGUUCUUGGGAUGAAUAAGAAGCAGGCAGAGCAAGCCAUGGAAAGCAAGUCGAAACUUCGGGCUACUCUAGAAAUGGAAUUAGAAAUGGCUCUGCACGCACUUAAAAUGGCCUCGGAUGAUUAUGCAAACAUUGACUGUAGGGUGGUGAAGAGAUGAUCCUCGUUCUCACUGGAGGCACCGCAGAAACUUCCUCUCUACUCCUCGCCUUACAGCACUCAGUUCGCGGAAGAGAACAGCAGUAAGAUGGCAAAUAAGAGUGUCCGCGUCACUCGCUUAAUGAAGAGACAGAUAUACCAGAAACUCUUUGCCCAUGAACACAACUUAUUCUCUCCUUGGAGUAGCAGUUUCUCCAGUCUUGUUUAUUAUCUCUCAAGAGUUGGUACCCAUCUUUGAAUUGUGUAGCCAUAAACACAAUAUUCUCUGCUCUCUCAUGUUUUUAUGCUGUGUAAACAGCUUUCUGUGUAGCUCUCCUGCUUGCUUCUGCUGCUCUCAUUGCUCCCCAUGUAGAUUCCCUUUUGUUACUGCAAGUAGUUCUGGUUUCACUCAUUGUCCAAUGGACAGUGUUCCUACCGUUCUUGUCAAUAACGGUUCAUGGUGCUCUGCUGACAACAAACAUUUACACUUUCUUCAGUUUUCCAUAUUAUCAGAGUGCCACCUUGAGCGUUUAGAGAAUUUAUGUAUUUUGUGGGCGUGCCUAAUGGGAACAGUCCUGAAUCCUAGGUAAGGAUGUUCAACUUUCUGGUAUAAAGUAGUUGUACAAUUUACAUGACCUUCAGUGAGUAUCUUUUGCCAGAUAUCCUUUUACACGAGUAAGACUAAUUUCUAAAAUUGUGGUUGGAUUUCCUUAUUUUAAUCAGAAGUUUUAUAAGAAUAUGUAAUAAAACAAACAAACAAAUGAAUAACAAAACCCCACAGAGAACUGAGCUCAGCAGACAAUUCUUAGCUGGUAGGCUGCCACUGAGAUUCUCAGUGAAUGGAUCAGACAUGGAUUCUGAGAGGGGCAUAUUGUCUCCCGAAGUGAGCAAGGAGGUGUUUGGAGUGUGCCAGCAGCUAGUUUGGUUUUAAUGGUUGGAAAAUGGUGGGGAGAAGCAGCAAAGCUAAGUGGAAUUGUAAUAAUUCUCUGAGCACAGGUUAAAGGAAAGAUGUCUUGUAGACUACAUAAUAUACAAUGAUUUGAUAUGAGGACAGAGAACGAAAAUAAAAAAAAAAUGUUUGAGAUUGUGAAUGCUUCCGUAUUUCCUUCAAAUCUGCCUGUCUGUUCGUCUCAGCUUUACUCUGUGAUACAGUGGUCUUUCAUCGCAUCUUCUUUAGCACCAAUGGCUUUCUGAUCGUGAUUAUACAGCUAUACCAUGGGUGUGGGCUCUCUCCACUGUUUCAGCACAUGAGAAAGUGGAUAUAGAAACGCUAGGUUUUAAUGAAAUUCUUGAAGAACAAGAUAUUUGUGCUUCUCUACUUAAUCAUCUAGGGCUCUAGGGCUAUUAAACUGGUCUUAUUCAAUAUAGUGCUUAAGUUUUAACUAGGACA